rnacentral:lncRNA from 1 species
UAUAUAUAUAUAUAUAUGUAUGUAUGUAUGUAUGUAUAUAGCAAGUUUGGCAAUUCAACGAAACAGUUGAAUGAGUAACAUUUGCUAGUCAUGGCUCUCUGCAUUCUAAAUCCAUAUUCCACUGGUGUCAACUUUGCUUUCCAUAUUUUUCAGAGCUAGAGUCAAAUCAAUAAACUAUCUUUGCUCUUUCACAAAAGUUGGCUCUGAGCCAUACUAAAAGAAAACCAAUAAUAUAUUACUGAAACAAAGAAAACAAUCUCUAUCAAGUUUCUUUAAGUAUUGCACCAAAUUAUGAAAAGCUAUACUAAUUCAAUUUAAUGCACUGAAUCUUUGAGUAGAAUAACACUGAAAAGAAACAGUUACAAUUUUUCAUUAAAGGAAGAAAUGCCAAAGAAAGGAUAUUGUUUUUGAAUGAAAGUUACUGUUUGGGAAAAUAGUAAUAAUAAUAAAUAUUAUCGAUACCACAUACUUAAUGUACAAGUGCCAUUUAAAUGCCAAAAGCUGCAGUUUUUCAUCAGGGAAAAAUCCUUUUAAAGACAUAUGUAUAGUGUUAAAAACACACAAUAUACUUCAGCGCUAAGUAAAAUGAAAUUGCCUGACUCUAUAGCAGUGGUUCCCAAACUUUUUCAGGCUGCCAUCCUACUGGCAUCCAGGUCACAUUCCCAACGCCCCCACCUACCUUACUCACCACCAUAAACAUAGACCACUUUCUGUGGCAAAUUCUAAGCAACUGUACAUCACCAAUAAAACUUAAUCUAAUUAACUCAUUAUUUUGGUUUCUUUUACAUCCAUUGGCCCCUUUUGGCUUCCUCAUUAUCACACCUCUUUUCUUCAACACUCCCCCUGAAUCUUUCCACCACCCCAAGGGGGCAGUACCGCUCACUUUGGGAACCACUGCUCUAAAGUAUAGUCUAAUUUUUAAAACUGUACAUGACAUUGAAGAAGAGAUUUUUCUAGUUGAAAAACCACAGUUUUUGGCAGUUAACUCUUUAGAAUUUAGAAUUCUACCUGUUUUAUAUUCAAACCAGCCAGAUCUGGCCUCUCACACUUACCCUGCAAUGUCAUUCUAAAAUUAAACAAUCACAUCAUCAAACUCUCAAAGCUCUAAGGUAAUGCAUGAUUAAUUUUAAAAAAUGGGAAUAAAUAAGUAUUACAUUUGAUGCAGUAAUUUAAAUACUGAAGGGUUAAACAAUACACAUAUAUUAAAUAUGUGGUAUUGAUAAUAUUUACAUUAUAGAGAUGCUUCCAUUGCAUAAUUGGAAUAUAUUUUAAUAAUAAUAAUAAUGAUAAUAAUAAUAAUAAUAAUAAUAAUAAUAAUAAUAAUAAUAAUAAUAAUAAUAAUAAUAAUUUUAUUAAAAUGCUUUCUUCUUAAAUCACUAAAGCUAUUUAUCUUUCAGUUAGUUCCACACUUAGUAAAUUUCAAUAUUUUUCUUCUUUAAUAUUCUUCAAAAAAAUUAUGCUUAAUCUCUGAAUGCACAUCAAAAAGAACCUGAUAACUAAAAAAAAAAUUUUUGCCAGAAUUAAUUUUAGAAAUUUAAAAAUUUCACCAAAUAAUUUUUUGAAAGUUUAUUUAUUUAUUUGCAUACAAAGCAAUGAUUUGUUGCAAAUAUAUGUAAACUGAAAGAAAGUCUUCUAGACUAUUAACCUUAACAGUCAUAUUUCUAUUUUCUACACAUUUCAAUCAUCCUCAAGAGGCCCACCCUUAAACAUAUCUCACAGCUACGUUCAAAGGUCAUUUUUUAAACCUUUUACAUCUAAAGCAAGGUUUUGAUGCUUUUCUGUUGUCAGAAAUAAGAAGACAUGAGAAUAGCUCGACUGAAAUGUAAUGUAGAAAAUUGAUUUACAAAAAAAUGAGGCCAUAGUAUGAAAAUUUCAAGCUAUUAUUCCAAAUGAUAAUAAUAAUGAUAAUAAUGAUAAAAUAGAUUUUGAAACAGAGAUCUAAGGCUCACAAUAUCCAAAUAUCUUUUUGCUCAUUUAACAUUAUCACUGCUAAAGAAGAAACUGGAAACAUCAUAUAAUUUUAAAAACAGUACUUCCAGACAAUGACACUGGCUUUUCUCAAUGAAACCAUCCAUCCCUUUCCAUUAGUACAUUACAAGAUAACAAUCCUAUGUUUCAAGAACACAAAUGUUAAAUUCUUGACUCAAUACUAAUGCAACUCAUUACAAGCAUUUCUAAAUCAAAUAUAAAUAAGCCAACCAGUUAUGGGUUUAUGAUAUCGUAUUGGCAGCAAAUUCUACAAAUGCAUUUAUUAAUGCAACUGUAAUUACCAUUGUAUCAUUUGGUAAAGGGUAUCUUUCUCUCUUAGAUGUGAAUAUUUGUUUUCUCAGCUUCCACAUUCACUAUUUUCUAUGACUAAAUUUCACAACACAACAAUAAUAUAUUCCGUUUUUCUUUUUGUUCAAAUUCCGCCGAGGUCGACUUUGCCUUUCA